GGGUUGUGAGGUUAAGCGACUAAGCGUACACGGUGGAUGCCCUGGCAGUCAGAGGCGAUGAAGGACGUGCUAAUCUGCGAAAAGCGUCGGUAAGGUGAUAUGAACCGUUAUAACCGGCGAUGUCCGAAUGGGGAAACCCAGUGCAAUUCGUUGCACUAUCGUUAACUGAAUACAUAGGUUAACGAGGCGAACCGGGGGAACUGAAACAUCUAAGUACCCCGAGGAAAAGAAAUCAACCGAGAUUCCCUCAGUAGCGGCGAGCGAACGGGGAGCAGCCCAGAGUCUGAAUCAGCUUGUGUGUUAGUGGAACGGUCUGGAAAGUCCGACGGUACAGGGUGAUAGUCCCGUACACCAAAAUGCACAGGUUGUGAACUCGAAGAGUAGGGCGGGACACGUGGUAUCCUGUCUGAAUAUGGGGGGACCAUCCUCCAAGGCUAAAUACUCCUGACUGACCGAUAGUGAACCAGUACCGUGAGGGAAAGGCGAAAAGAACCCCGGCGAGGGGAGUGAAAAAGAACCUGAAACCGUGUACGUACAAGCAGUGGGAGCACCUUCGGGUGUGACUGCGUACCUUUUGUAUAAUGGGUCAGCGACUUAUAUUCUGUAGCAAGGUUAACCGUAUAGGGGAGCCGCAGGGAAACCGAGUCUUAACUGGGCGUUAAGUUGCAGGGUAUAGACCCGAAACCCGGUGAUCUAGCCAUGGGCAGGUUGAAGGUUGGGUAACACUAACUGGAGGACCGAACCGACUAAUGUUGAAAAAUUAGCGGAUGACUUGUGGCUGGGGGUGAAAGGCCAAUCAAACCGGGAGAUAGCUGGUUCUCCCCGAAAGCUAUUUAGGUAGCGCCUCGUGAAUUCAUCUUCGGGGGUAGAGCACUGUUUCGGCUAGGGGGUCAUCCCGACUUACCAACCCGAUGCAAACUACGAAUACCGAAGAAUGUUAUCACGGGAGACACACGGCGGGUGCUAACGUCCGUCGUGAAGAGGGAAACAACCCAGACCGCCAGCUAAGGUCCCAAAGUCAUGGUUAAGUGGGAAACGAUGUGGGAAGGCACAGACAGCCGGGAUGUUGGCUUAGAAGCAGCCAUCAUUUAAAGAAAGCGUAAUAGCUCACUGGUCGAGUCGGCCUGCGCGGAAGAUGUAACGGGGCUAAACCAUGCACCGAAGCUGCGGCAGCGACACUAUGUGUUGUUGGGUAGGGGAGCGUUCUGUAAGCCUGCGAAGGUGUGCUGUGAGGCAUGCUGGAGGUAUCAGAAGUGCGAAUGCUGACAUAAGUAACGAUAAAGCGGGUGAAAAGCCCGCUCGCCGGAAGACCAAGGGUUCCUGUCCAACGUUAAUCGGGGCAGGGUGAGUCGACCCCUAAGGCGAGGCCGAAAGGCGUAGUCGAUGGGAAACAGGUUAAUAUUCCUGUACUUGGUGUUACUGCGAAGGGGGGACGGAGAAGGCUAUGUUAGCCGGGCGACGGUUGUCCCGGUUUAAGCAUGUAGGCUGGUUAUCCGAGCAAAUCCGGAUAAUCAAGGCUGAGGUGUGAUGACGAGGCACUACGGUGCUGAAGUAACAAAUGCCCUGCUUCCGGGAAAAGCCUCUAAGCAUCAGGUAACAUUAAAUCGUACCCCAAACCGACACAGGUGGUCAGGUAGAGAAUACCAAGGCGCUUGAGAGAACUCGGGUGAAGGAACUAGGCAAAAUGGUGCCGUAACUUCGGGAGAAGGCACGCUGGUGUGUAGGUGAAGUCCCUGCGGAUGGAGCUGAGACCAGUCGAAGAUACCAGCUGGCUGCAACUGUUUAUUAAAAACACAGCACUGUGCAAACACGAAAGUGGACGUAUACGGUGUGACGCCUGCCCGGUGCCGGAAGGUUAAUUGAUGGGGUUAUCCGUAAGGAGAAGCUCUUGAUCGAAGCCCCGGUAAACGGCGGCCGUAACUAUAACGGUCCUAAGGUAGCGAAAUUCCUUGUCGGGUAAGUUCCGACCUGCACGAAUGGCGUAAUGAUGGCCGGGCUGUCUCCACCCGAGACUCAGUGAAAUUGAACUCGCUGUGAAGAUGCAGUGUACCCGCGGCAAGACGGAAAGACCCCGUGAACCUUUACUAUAGCUUGACACUGAACAUUGAGCCUUGAUGUGUAGGAUAGGUGGGAGGCUUUGAAGCGUGGACGCCAGUCUGCGUGGAGCCAACCUUGAAAUACCACCCUUUAAUGUUUGAUGUUCUAACGUUGGCCCCUUACCGGGGUUGCGGACAGUGUCUGGUGGGUAGUUUGACUGGGGCGGUCUCCUCCCAAAGCGUAACGGAGGAGCACGAAGGUUAGCUAAUCUCGGUCGGACAUCAGGAGGUUAGUGCAAUGGCAUAAGCUAGCUUGACUGCGAGCGUGACGGCGCGAGCAGGUGCGAAAGCAGGUCAUAGUGAUCCGGUGGUUCUGAAUGGAAGGGCCAUCGCUCAACGGAUAAAAGGUACUCCGGGGAUAACAGGCUGAUACCGCCCAAGAGUUCAUAUCGACGGCGGUGUUUGGCACCUCGAUGUCGGCUCAUCACAUCCUCGGGGCUGAAGUAGGUCCCAAGGGUAUGGCUGUUCGCCAUUUAAAGUGGUACGCGAGCUGGGUUUAGAACGUCGUGAGACAGUUCGGUCCCUAUCUGCCGUGGGCGCUGGAGAAUUGAGGGGGGCUGCUCCUAGUACGAGAGGACCGGAGUGGACGCAUCACUGGUGUUCGGGUUGUCAUGCCAAUGGCACUGCCCGGUAGCUAAAUGCGGAAGAGAUAAGUGCUGAAAGCAUCUAAGCACGAAACUUGCCCCGAGAUGAGUUCUCCCUGAGACUUUAAGUCUCCUGAAGGAACGUUGAAGACGACGACGUUGAUAGGCCGGGUGUGUAAGCGCAGCGAUGCGUUGAGCUAACCGGUACUAAUGAACCGUGAGGCUUAACCUUACAACGCCGAAG
rnacentral:rRNA from 1 species